rnacentral:lncRNA from 1 species
GUUUGGUCGCUGUGAUGCGGCGAUAGCUGAUGGGCGGGUGUAAUUCAUGUAACGUUGAUGCUGCAUUGUUGUGGUUUGGAUCAUUGAAAUGCAAUGAUACGCGUGAACUGGUGCUACCAAGGAUGGGACGAAGGUUGUCUAGCCCUUGUUUACUUUGCGAAUUUGGGAGGUGCCAAAUUACUGUAGCAACACUGUAGCAUUUCGUUUGUAUUUGUGAAUUAUUGUCCAAAUAUUGACUAAUUAGGCUCAAAAGAUUCGUCUCGCAAAGUACAAUAAAACUGUGCAAUUAGUUUUUGAUUUCGUCUACAUUUAGUACUCCAUGCAUGUACCGCAAGUUUGAUGUGAUGGGGAAUCUUCUUUUUGCAUAGUGCCAAAGUUAGGAGUUUCGUAGGAAGUGAACAAGGGCCUAGUUGUUGUGCCAAAAGUGUACUCCACAGGAGAGGUUGGUUGACCACUGUAAUUUCAGGCCCUGUUUGGGACGGCGGGGGCGGGCGCGCGGUGGCGGUCGCGUACCGCUGGCUCCGCGGCCGCUUCUCGCGGUACACGGCCCGUUCAUUUUGCCGCGGGUUUUUCGAUGAGAGGGGACUGUUU